GGCCCCGCACAAGCGGUGGAGUAUGUGGUUUAAUUCGAUGCAACGCGAAGAACCUUACCAGGGUCUUGACAUCCUGCGAACCUCUGGGAAACCGGAGGGUGCCUUCGGGAACGCAGUGACAGGUGGUGCAUGGCUGUCGUCAGCUCGUGUCGUGAGAUGUUGGUUAAGUCCCGCAACGAGCGCAACCCACGUCUUUAGUUGCCAGCAUUUAGUUGGGCACUCUAGAGAGACCGCCGGUGACAAACCGGAGGAAGGUGUGGAUGACGUCAAGUCAUCAUGCCCCUUACGUCCUGGGCCUACACACGUACUACAAUGCUACGGACAAAGGGCAGCAAGUUCGCGAGGACAAGCA
rnacentral:rRNA from 1 species